UGGGGAAUUUUGGACAAUGGGCGAAAGCCUGAUCCAGCAAUGCCGCGUGUGUGAAGAAGGCCUUCGGGUUGUAAAGCACUUUUGUCCGGAAAGAAAUCCUUGGCUCUAAUACAGUCGGGGGAUGACGGUACCGGAAGAAUAAGCACCGGCUAACUACGUGCCAGCAGCCGCGGUAAUACGUAGGGUGCAAGCGUUAAUCGGAAUUACUGGGCGUAAAGCGUGCGCAGGCGGUUUGCUAAGACCGAUGUGAAAUCCCCGGGCUCAACCUGGGAACUGCAUUGGUGACUGGCAGGCUAGAGUAUGGCAGAGGGGGGUAGAAUUCCACGUGUAGCAGUGAAAUGCGUAGAGAUGUGGAGGAAUACCGAUGGCGAAGGCAGCCCCCUGGGCAAUACUGACGCUCAUGCACGAAAGCGUGGGGAGCAAACAGGAUUAGAUACCCUGGUAGUCCACGCCCUAAACGAUGUCAACUAGUUGUUGGGGA
rnacentral:rRNA from 1 species